rnacentral:ncRNA from 1 species
CGGGAAGGACGGCCUUCCUGCCCUCAUCAACGAACGGGACGGCCCGU